UGAUGGGAUUCAUCCCAGAGUUCUGAAGGUUCUGGCGGAUGUUAUGGCAGGACCUCUCUUGACCACCUACUAAAGGUCUUGGAUGUCUGGGGAGGUUCCAACUGAUUGGAAAUUGGCCAGUGUUAUUUCUAUCCACAAAAAGAGCAAGGGAAAACACAGGAAAUAAAAGACUAAUUUUAUUAGUAUAAAGAAGAGAAUGAUUUUAUUCUAUCUUCAGUUUCUGUAAAAAAACACUGUAGAAGAUUAUUCUGGGUACUACUGAAAGGCAUUUGAAGAGUAAUGUAAUCAUCAGUCACAAUCUACAUGGGAUCACAAAGAGAAAUUCCUAUUUAACUAUAAUUUGAUAUUGUUCUAUGACAAGGUCAUCCAUCUCAUGUAUGAAGAGGAUGCAGUGGAUGUAGAGUUCUGGAUUUUGCCUGUGAGGAAAAUAAAGCUUAUCAAAAUGGAUGCUUAUCAGAAGUGACGAAUCAUAGUGGAUGAAGGGAAUACAGUUAUGUUAAAUUCUGAUAUGACAAGAACACAGGAUUUUUUCAGGAGCUAAUCUGAAAAACUACUUCCUAGAAUAAUCACAUCGACCCGUCUUGUGUAUCCGUGGUGUGUGCUGUGACAGAAAAACACCUCUUCCAAAAACUCUCCUCUUUUCCCGCUAGAGGGAGGACUCUCCCAAAAUACUCAUGGGAGACUGUUCCCCUGACUGAGACUCUUCAACUCUAAACAAACCUUUCUGGGAAUGUUUUCAUCUAAUGGUAAGGACUGUCCUGCAAUGAAGUUAUA